ACGGAGGAUGCAAGUGUUAUCCGGAAUCACUGGGCGUAAAGCGUCUGUAGGUGGUUCGAAAAGUCCACUGUUAAAAAUUGAGGCUUAACUUCAAAGAUGCCGUGGAAACUUUCAAACUAGAGUAUGGUAGGGGUAGAGGGAAUUUCCAGUGGAGCGGUGAAAUGCGUAGAUAUUGGAAAGACCACCGAUGGCGAAGGCACUCUACUGGGCCAUUACUGACACUGAGAGACGAAAGCUAGGGGAGCAAAUGGGAUUAGAUACCCCAGUAGUCCUAGCUGUAAACGAUGGAUACUAGAUGUUGUGUGUAUUGACCCAUGCAGUAUCGUAGCUAACGCGUUAAGUAUCCCGCCUGGGAAGUAUGCUCGCAAGAGUG
rnacentral:rRNA from 1 species